GCCGAUGUGGUGGAAUAGGCAGACGCGACGGACUCAAAAUCCGUUGGUAGUGAUACCGUAUGGGUUCAAGUCCCAUCAUCGGCACCA
rnacentral:tRNA from 1 species